CCUACGGGUGGCAGCAGUGAGGAAUAUUGGUCAAUGGACGAGAGUCUGAACCAGCCAAGUAGCGUGAAGGAUGACUGCCCUAUGGGUUGUAAACUUCUUUUAUAUGGGAAUAAAACAGGGUAUGCAUACCCUCUUGUAUGUACCAUAUGAAUAAGGAUCGGCUAACUCCGUGCCAGCAGCCGCGGUAAUACGGAGGAUCCGAGCGUUAUCCGGAUUUAUUGGGUUUAAAGGGAGCGUAGGUGGAUUGUUAAGUCAGUUGUGAAAGUUUGGGGCUCAACCGUAAAAUUGCAGUUGAAACUGGCAGUCUGGAGGACAGUAGAGGUGGGCGGAAUUCGUGGUGUAGCGGUGAAAUGCUUAGAUAGCACGAAGAACUCCGAUUGCGAAGGCAGUUCACUGGACUGCAACUGACACUGAGGCUCGAAAGUGUGGGUAUCAAACAGGAUUAGAUACCCCAGUAGUC
rnacentral:rRNA from 1 species